UGUUCACAAAAACUACGGUUCCUUUGCAAACAUCGUAACCUGCCACGUUGGAGUUUUCAACGGCGAGAUGUGGUGGCAGAAUUACAACCGCAGGAUGCCUCCUCAUUGUCUCUUUCAUGAUCGCAUCUAUGUAAGGAAGUUGUGCUAGGUCUUUCUCUUCUACCCAUCUCUCUCUCCCGAUCACUCUGUCAAGUUCUUCUGUUGCCUUUUUUAUGAGGCUUGGUUGUUUUAUGAGCUCAGACAUUGCCCACUCUAAAUUUGUUGCUGAGGUAUCAGUGCCUCCAGCUAUUAAGUCCUGGUUUAAAUUUAAAUGAACAAUUAUGUUUUAUAGAUGGUUAGUCAAAUACGAGAAAUAUAUAUUAAACGUGAUAAAUAUGUACGUAAGUGUAUAGAAUGCAUGUAUGAUGUGUACAUAUCUUACAAAUAUUAACAAUUGAAUAGAUUUGGGAUCUUAUAUGAUAUAUACCUGAGUGAAUGCCUUGAUACUGUCAUAGUUGAGUUUAACUUCAAGAUCAUUUGAACCAUCAACCAGCUGCAGUAGUAAAUCCACCAUGUCCUUUGGCACAAAUUCCUCCACUCCUUCCUUCUGCGCCUUGUGUUCGUUGAGCAUAAAAUCAUAAAACCGAUUGAUUUUUUUCUGCAUGGCCUUCAUUCGCUUUAUGUAUCCGUGCAAGUCCAAGAAAUUAAGCCAUGGUAUCCAAUCCCCAAUGUUAAACACCCCAUUAAGCACAAAAAACUCAUCUAACAUGUCCUGAAAUUCUUUGAGUGACAUUAUAGAACCCUCGUAUUCAGCAACGCUAAAAUAAUCCUUACCCAACACAAUUCUGCUCAUAAUGCUAAAAGUAAGACGUGACAGAUGCUCUUUGAGCACAACCGGGUUACCUGACUUGGCGAUGGCACAGAGUCGUGAUGUAAAAGCGCGAUUUUCUUCAACACGAAUGUACUCAAAGGAUUCUAGUCUUUUGGAACUAAACAACUCGUAGAGGAAGAUUUUCCGGCCUUGACGCCAAUAUGGACCGUAAGGUGACCAACUGACACUUUGGUAGUCAUAGGUGAGGUACUUGCCCGCUGCAGUUUGAGGCCUAGAGGAAAACACAUGAUCAUGUGUCUUCAAAAAUUGUUUUGCCAUUUCUGGGGACGAGGCAACUACAACUGGGCGGGAGCCAAACCUGAGUUGCAUUAUAGGUCCAUAAGUUAGGGAUAAUUUGUGAAGGGAUUGAUGCGGGAGAGGACCAAUGAGGUUGAGGUUUCCAAUUAUAGGCCAGGGGUUGGGACCUGGUGGAAAUUUUUGUUUCUUGAGUUGGGGAAACAAGGUUUUUGAGACAAGGGCUAGAGUGGCGAGGCAUGCCAGGGUUAAAAUUACAGCACAAGAAAAGUACUCCAUUGUUUGGAUUGUGGCUGCAAUGGUGAACGGUUGAGAGUUGUGGUCUUAUAUAGUUGAAGUAGUAGGUGGUUACUUGAUAUCAGAAAUAAAAAAUUUAUGAUCUUUAAUGGAUGCAGAAGAUUCACCGAAUAAUCUAAUAUCUAUGGAGCUCUCAAGUAUAAGAUAUUUUAUAAUUUUUAACUGUUUGGAAUUUUAAUUAAAAAUCAUUCAAGAUCUAAUUGAGUUGUACUAGUGUUGAUGCACAAAACCGGAGGUCUUGGAACAACGUAAAUACGACCGUGAAUCUGCAAGAAAUGUAAAUAACACAAGAUGUAUCGUGGUUCACCCCAAGGUUUGGGCUACGUCCACACUGAUUGUAUUUCUCUGAGAGUAUUUGUGAGGGAGAGAGUGUGAGAGCUUUGCUCUAGAUAGGAGAGGCUUAUGGCCUAGGAAUUGGCCCUCCACUCAUUGUGAGGGUGAGGAGUCCUUUUAUAGAAUAAUAGAUCCUCACUUAUUACAUAUUUGCCCAUUCCUUUAUUACAUAAUUACAUUUAAGUCCUCCGAGUAUUUGUACGAGAUCUAAAUACGGAUGCCCUAAAUAUGGUAUAAACAACUAGUAUGCCAUAAGAAAUUUUGAUGUUAAACUUUGUUUCAAGUUGAAUUUUAGUAUGAUGAUCAUCAUAAAUUUUUAAAUACACUACUUGUGGUAAUGGAGGUAUUUGCAGAGAUGGUUUUUUCAAAAGAAAAACUAAUGAAAAUGGCUUGAAAACUUUGAGUUUUAAUGAUAAGGACAAAACAAAGGGUAAAGUGAAUAGUACCAGGAUUGACUUUUUAGUGUAAAAAUGUGGUUUUUCGUUAAAAUGAACAGUAUCAGGUGCUUUUCGUUAAAGUUCCCUUUUUCAAAAUGAUUGCCAAAAUAUUUGCAGAGACGGUGUUUCCCAAUUUUUUUUUUCACACACCUAUCUCGUUGCAAAUAGUGAAAGAUAUGGGGGUGGGUACAAGUAUAGGACAAGCCACUCGUCAAAGAUUCAUUAUCCACAUCUGCUCCUCGUAAAUUUCUAAAUAUUUUAAGAAAUUAUUAUUGGUAUUUUAGAAAUGUGAGCGGAUGUGUGAUGACUUUUUUUACACAAGUUUUUAUAGUACGAGUACGACCGUAAUAUUAGACAAAUAAAAAAAUUAUUAAGACAUUCAUUUGUAAACAAAUACGGCUCCACAAAGAACCCCUAAACCCUUAAUCAAAUAGUCGUAUGGUUUGGGAAUUGAACAUUUUUGGUAGAUAUGAUAUUUGAGGGAAUACCUAAAAGAUAGACGAUUCGAAUCGUUGGAAUACCUUACAAAGUGGGCUCCACAAAAACUUCCACAAAAAAUUGUGUAAAAAAAUGAUGUCACAUCCAUCCCUUAAAAAUUUAAUUAUAAACUUUAAAUCUUUUAUAGUAAAAAACAAAUACUUAUAUGAGAAGUGCGCAAUCAAAAUUUCAAUGUGCCAAUAAUUGUAACAUCCUGCAUCACCAAGGAGAGUGGAUCAUGUAAACCUUAUAUGUAUAUUCUCAUUUCUACCUAGCACGAGGCAUUUUGGGAGCUCACUAGCUUCGGGUUCCAUCGGAACUCCGAAGUUAAGUGAGUUCGUGCGAGAGCAAUCCAUGAUGGGUGAUCCACUGGGAAGUUCUCGUGUGAGUUCCCAGAAACAAAAUCGUGAGAGCUUGAUCAGGGCCCAAAGCGAACAAUAUCGUGCUAUGGCAGAGUCGAGUCCGGGAUAUGGUGGGGGCUCGGGCCGGAAUGUGAUAAUUUGGUAUCAGAGCCAAUCCCCGGCCGGAAGUGUGCCGACGAUGACGUCGAGCCCUAAGAGGGGUGGAUUGUAACAUCCCACGUCGCCCAGGGGAGUGGAUCCUAUAAGCUUUAUAUGUAUAUUCACAUCUCUACCUAGCACAAGGCUUUUUGGGAGCUUAUUGGUUUUGGGUUCCAUUGGAACUCUGAAGUUAAGCGAGUUCACACAAGAGCAAUCCCAUGAUGGGUAACCCAUUGGGAAGUUCUCAUGUAAGUUCCCAAAAACAAAACCGUGAUGGCGUAGUCGGGGCCCAAAGCAGACAAUAUCGUGUUAUGGCGGAGUCGAGCCCGGGAUGUGGUGGAGGCCCGAGCCGGGAUCUGACAAUAAUAAUUUCCAUAUUUUAUUGUGAUAACAUUACAAAAAAUAUUAGGGUAAAUCUAUGUUUACUACCCUUAUGUUUCAUGGUUUUCAACAUUUAGUACAUCAAGUUUUUUUCGUCCCAAAGUCAUACCUAAAGUGUAAAUUUUGGGACCGUCUCAUACAUCCGUUAGUCAAACUGUUAAGUCUCCCGUUAACUAUAACGUGACGCCCAUGUGGACAAUGAUUAGGUGCCACGUGUCAUCCACAUGGAAAUUAAAAAUAAAUUAUUUAUAAAAUAAAUAAAAUAAUUUAUAAAAAAAAAACUUUCAUCUUCCCCAAAUCGCACCUGUACCCACCCUCCCAUCACCCAUCCAUUCUCCUACCCCCCAACACAUUUUCUCUCGCACCACUCCUACCCGGACUCUCGCGACUCCUCCCAUCAUUCCCACGAAAUCGACUACAACACCCCUAACCAACCCCACUCUGCUCCCUCUGCGACACUUCUAACGAAGUCGAUGGAUCCUCUUCGACGGCUCUUGUCACGACUUCGGUUCAAAUCGGGUCUCCCAAUGGAUCCUCUCCGAAGGCUUCGGUCAUUGCCUCGCCGACAAACCUCGAUUUCUUGGGGAUCGCUACACCGGAGAACUGGUGAUGUCUCAGGUAGAGAUUCAGAGGCAGAUCCAGGAGUUGCAGAAGAUGCAAAUCGUUGCUGGUCACGAGCCGAGAGGCACAUGAACACUGAGGGUAUCCGAUGACGACUGGGGUGGGAGGGUGGGCGCGGGUGGGAUUUGGGGAAGACGAAGAGGUGGGUGGUAAGAGGGUGGGCGCGGGUAGUCACAAAUGGUGAUGUGGGUUUGUUGAAGAUUGUGGCAUGAAGUCUUUAGUUGCAAAUUGGACAUUUUGGAGGGUUUGAUCGAGGCUGGUUAAGUGCAAAUGAGGUUGAAAUUGAUUGUUUUUAUCAGCGAAACCAGUUUCCAUUGAAGUUUUAGGACUUGGGGAAUUGAGGGUAUUUUUUUUUUUUUUUAACUUUGCAUGAAUGUGAAGCUUCAUGCUUUUGUGAUUUCCUGGUAAAGUUUUGCAUGAAAGUUUGUUUCUUUGGGGGGGGGGGUUUGAAUGUGUGUUUGAUGGUGAAAUAAGAUAUUUGCAGUAAACAAAAAAAGGGAAGAAAAGGAUUUGGGGAAGACGAAGAGGUGGGAGAUGGGAGGGUGGGUACAGGUGGGAUUUGGGGAAGAUGAAAGUUUUUUUUUUUUUUAAUUUUUUUAUAAAUAAUUUAUUUAAUUUCCACGUGGAUGACACGUGGCACCCUGUCAUUGUCCACAUGGGUGCCACAUCACAGUUAACGGGAGACUUAAUAGUUUGACUAACGGAUGUAUGAGACUGUCCUAAAAUUUACACUUUAGGUAUGACACUAGGACGAAAAAAACUUGAUGUACUAAAUGUUAAAAAUCACGAAACAUAAGGGUAGUAAAUAGAGAUUUACCCUAAUAUUUUUGUAGUGUUUUGACAAUAAAAUAUGGAAACUAUUAUUGUCAGAUCCCAGCCCGGGCCCCCACCACAUCCCGAGCUUGACUCCGCCGUAGCAUGAUAUUGUCUGCUUUGGUGAUGUGAUUUAUAUUGAGAAUGAGUCUCACAUUGAUGAGAGAAUGGACCUUGCAUGGGCUUAUAAAAUGUUUGGCUACUCUCCAUAUUGUCGCUUAGUUAUAUGGUGGAACCCGUCAAUUUUCUUCAUAGUAUCAGAGCAAGUUGUUCCACGUGUGAAGCCAAACGGUCACAUGCGCUCCACAUCAUCCCGUUGUAUUGUCUACGUGUUAGGCUUCGUCACACGUAAGGGGGCAUGUUGAGAAUGAGUCCUACAUUGAUGAGAGGAGGAACCUUGCAUGAGCUUAUAAAAGGUUGAACUACUCUCCAUAUUACCAAUUAAUUUUAUGGUGAAACCUCAACUUUCUUCAAUUUUUCCAAACCUUAAACCCUUCCGAAAGAUUGUUAAGCACCAAAUACACAAUGAUUAAUGUCUCAACUCACGCACUGAGAUAUAACUUGCUCUCUUCAUUGGCAAAUAUUAAAGGUAAAGGUAAUGAUGCAACGAUAGCAACAUUUCGUUGCUCUACCUCAAUAUAUCCUUAAAAAAUAUUUUUUUAUUACAUUUUUUAUACGAUUAUUUCAUAAUUGUAUUACCUCUUGAAUAGAAAUGAGACUCAAAUUGUUGGUUUUCCCUAAUUUUAUUAGAAAUAUGAUACAAAAAUGAUAUGAAAAAUGUAAUAAGAGUAACUCUAGAUAUCCAUCUAAAUGCUCAAAUAACAAUUCCUCAUCGAAAACAUUGGAAAAAAAAAUGGCAAUGGGCACAUUAUUGUUGGAAGGCAAUGGGAAUAAGCGUCUAAGCGGGGACCUGGGCUUUUUUUUAUAAUAAUUUUUAAUGAAAUUUAAUAUAUAACAUAUAACUAAAAGUCUAUUUAUACUUUAAAAGUUGUAUAAUUGCACUUGGAUAUAUAAAUUGCAAAGUAUAAUUACAUAUAGAUUAUAAAGUAUUAGAUCAUACUGAAAACAUAUAGAACAAGCAUAUAACGAGUGUUCACCAAGUAUUCAACAAAUCUCUCCCAAUUUAUUGAAAAAAUAAAAUGCAAAAUAAAAGUUAUCUAUCUUCUAUUUAAGUGAGAGUCGUGAUAUAGACGGAUGCUUAAGCGGGUCUAGACGAGCUAGAAUGGCGCCUUGCCUACCUAGGCACCCUUGCUUAAUUUUCAAAAGCCUAGAGAUUUAUGUGUCAUUUCUUAAUUUUCAAACACCUAGAUAUAAAUCAGGACGGUAACGAGCCGCUUAACGCCUAAACAACAUUAGUGGUGAUUUUAGAACACUACUUAUAAAACAUAACAUGAGUAAAUAGUUCUUUUCUACACACCAUAAAAACAAAUACAAACUUGACUUCAACCCAAUAAAAACAAAAGAAAACUAAUAAAAAGGUGGCCACAUUACGAAAACCCUAAAAGCUCGAAAACCAGUGUUGACAAAGAAAUAUUGCAUUACAAAGGGUUACAAAUUUCACACUUGUGAUUUAUCCUUCUGCGCUUCUUCCAUUUCUCAUGCCCCUUAUUCUUCGUCAACUUUUAUUAUAUCCUAAAAAAUAAAGUACAAAAGAAUCCUACUACAUUUUAUUGCUAAUCUUCUGUGAGAUUUAAAAUGACUUAUUGAAAAUGAAAAUUUGUAUAAAAGUUGUCAGAAAAUAUGCUGCAACAGAAUCAUAGAAAUAAUGGCUUGAAAUCUCAUUCGCACCAACGAGCCAAGGGAACAUAGAGUAGUGCUAAAAUACAUAUGUAGAUCAUAUCUUGCAUUCACACAUAAAAAUUGUAAAUAGAGAUUUGUCAAAGUUGCCUUUGGCUACAUAUGCUGUAUAGCACCUGCAGACUCUAGUGCAAUAACUCUUGUGAGGGGAAAUGUUAAUUUUCGACUUUUGGGGCCAAUCAUUUUAGUUUUUUCUUGAAUUAAUUUUUUCAAAUUCAGAAACUUCUUUCUUCUUUUUGUUUUUCUUCUCUUUAAUUGUAUAUUUAAUAGAGUUUCUGUUUUUAAUGAACCAAAAACACCUAAUUCAAAAAGUGGGUUGUACAGUUAGAUUCUGAUCCUAGCCGUUUAUGCUUUCUGUCUAUACCAUAUUUAGGACAUCCGUAUUUAGAUCUCGUAAAAAUACUCAGGAGACUUAAAUGUAAUUAUGUGAUAAAGGAAAGGGCAAAUAUGUAAUAAGUGAGGAGCCCUUAUUCUAUAAAAGAACUCCUCACCCUCACAAUUAGAUGAGGCCAAUUUCUUAGGCCAUGGAAGGGUUCUCUCACUCUCAGAAUCUCUCUCCAUCUCUCUCCCUCACAAACAGAUAAUACAUAAUUAGUGUGGACGUAGCCCAAAUCUUGUGAUGAACCACGAUACAUCUUGUGUUAUUUACAUUACUUGCAGAUUUACGGUCAGAUUUACGUUGUUCCAAGACCUCCAAUUUUGUGCAUCAACAUUAGGCGCCGUUUGUGGGAAUCAACACAAAAAACUAUGUCGGUUCUCUUUCAUUUUUUCAUCAAAUCUCACCACUGUGAAUCUGUAAAAACCCCAAAACCCAAAGCUUUCACAAAAACCCAACGGUUCAUUCUAUCUAUCUCUCUCUAAAAAACCAACCAGAAAACUCUACCAAAACUCAUCACUCUGGAAAUCUGGAAAGACCAGCUCGAAAUCCCCGAAUACCAUUUCCGGGGUAUCGGGUCUGACACCCACUUCACCAACACAAAACCCCAACUCCAAAUUCUCAUUAUCUUCUCAGAUACAAAAGCAAUUUAUCUGACACUAGUAGAGUAACGUGUCUCUCUCUCUCUCUCACGCCUGGACUGGUUGCCUCAUCCCUCUCAAAUUUUCAACUAGAAAGCGAGAAAAGGUUGUAACUUCAAGUUAUGUGUCAGCUGGUGAGAUCACAGAUGGAUUUCUUGAGUUAUUGCUUGAUAAUCCCAUGUCUUUUCUCUAUUUGGUAUUUCUUAGUUUAAGCUCUCAGAUCCAAUCGCAAAGGGCUUCUUUUUCCACCUGGACCAAAGCCAUCUCCCUUCGUCCCCUUGGUCUCUGUUCCGCCUUCCACCAUGAUGGAUAAGACUAGAUCUUUAGACUUUAAGGGAACGAAGAGGGACUUCAGUACUGCGACCCUCGAGCGCAAGAAGUCUGUGAGUCGGCUCAUUGUCGACGAUGCUAUCAAUGACGACAACUCCGUCGUUGCGCUCCACCCCGACACAAUGGAGAAGCUCCAGCUCUUUCGUGGCGACACUAUCUUGAUCAAGGUGUUCUUGCCCACUUUGUUCACUCCAUUGGCCAGUGGGGGACUGAACCUUACUCUGAGAGAGAGAGAGAGAGAGCGAUGGCGGAUGAGGCAAUUCUAGGAUACCUUGAGUCAAAGAAUGAAAUAUCAGAUUCCGGUCAGUUUACAGCUGAACGUGGGCUCUAUGGUUUCAGAUAUAUUAUCGCACAGAACAUCAAAAGAGAGAUGUGGAUGUUUACUGAUGAAGGAAGGGCAUACACUGCUACCGGGUUACCGGAAGUGCAGCUGUUCCUGGCCAUCCCACCAGAGGGUAUCCCCAAAGAAGAAUUGCAGAAAAAGCUGGAUCCAUCAGUUUUCAAAAUUGGAAGCGCCCAGGCUGCGAAGAGAAAAUGGGUGGAGAUACCAAGCAACUAGUAACCCGAAAGUUUAUAUUGGCCAAGAAAUGCCAUCUUGGGACGAUAUGGAUAACGGCACAUUUGGAGCGCAAGCUUCGCAAGAAUCAGGUUGCCGACACCGAUAUUGGCGUCUCCGUAUGAACAGGGGAGUCUCAAUCACGCCAUCAAUACGGAGAGCAGGGGGUCCCCACGGCGUCGCCGGUGGCGAAGGCUCCGGAGAUCGGAGACGAGAAGAAGAAGGAGCAGAGCCUGCCGUUUUUCAGUCUAAGAUUCCAGUGGUCUGCUGUGGUUGGAAUUGGGAUGGGGACAAGGUCCCAGCAGCAACCAGGCCGAAAGAGAAAGGCAGUGGGAACAAAGAGAAAAGCAAAAGAAAGCGGAAAAAGAAAAGAGAAAAGAAGAAAAUGGGAAAAAUUAUAAAGGGGAGACUUUGGAUGCGGUCCCUAGUUAUGAACAGUCUUUGACUGAAACCUUGUUGGUUUUCAAUUUUUGAUCCAAGUCCCUGAAAUUAAUUGAUAAUUUAUUUCUAUGUAAGUUACUAUAUUUUUUAAAUUAAAAAUUAAAAUUUAUAGUUGUUUAUAGUAAUGAGAUUUAAAAAAAAAAACCACAAUUUGUGGGAUUAAAAAUAUUAAAAUAUAAAUAUACUAUUGUGUGUGUGUGUAAACAUGGGUACAUUCAUAAAAAAUAACAAAAAAAUUAUUGUAUCAAAACAUGGGUACAUUCUUCAAAAUGGGUACAUUUAGCAAAAAUAAAAAAUGGGUACAAAUAAAUAAAAAAAAUAUGGGUACAAUACAAAUAAAACUUUAAAAAAUAUGGGCACAAAAAGAAAUUAAUAUAUGGGUACAAAUUAAAACUGAAAGGAAAAUUGGUACAAAUUAAAAAAGGGUUGCAAAUUAAAAAUAGGUACAAACUAAAAAUAAAAAAUAUAUUAAAAAUUUAGCCAUAAAUAUAAAUAUCUAAUUUGUAAACAUUUUUUAAUAUUAAAUAAAUAUAUUUAGAAAUAAAAAAUAUUUUAUUAUUGAAAUAAUUAAUGAUAUUAUUAAUACAAAGGACCUUGAUCAAAAAUUGAAAAGUAAUAAGGUUUUAAUCAAUAGAGUAGUAAAAAUAAGGAUGAAAACCUAAUUACUCCAUUAUAAAGUUCCUAUUAUUACGAUUCUUUUUGUCUACCAGGUGAAGAGAUAGAGAGAGUGCGACGGAAAGCAGAAAGUAAAAACAAGGAAUAAACACCCCAUCAGAAUGAUGUGAUUUACUUUUCUUGUUUCUGAAUGGUGUAAAUUAUUUUUCUUAUCUUUCAGAGACAUCUGUAUAAACCCCAUCAGAGGGUAAUAAUAAUUAAAAAAAAAGGCAAAACCCAAAAUAAAUGGGCUGGAAUGUUGUGUAGAGGGCGAAAGCUCAUAAGCCCAAAAUAGUUCCAACGAGGUGAUCAAAAGUACGCCCAGUACUCCACAAUUAUUCGACAACCUACCGCUAUUACCACCAACCAGGUGAUCAAAAGUACACCCAGUACUCCACAAUUAUUCGGCAAUAUGCCGCUAUUAUCACCAACCAGGUAAUGAAAUGUACAACCCGUACUCUAAUAUCAUUUGGCAACUAGCCAUUCAUGCCACCAACCAGGUGACGAAAUGUACAACCUGUACUCUCCUUCAUACCACCAACCAGGUGAUCAAAAGUACGACCAGUACUCCAAAUUAUACAUGAGCAUUACUCAUGUCAUUCAUACAUAAACAUUCAUGAGCAUCACUCUUGACAAUCAUACAUAAACAUUCAUGACUAUCAUUCACGUUAACAUUCAUAAGCAUCACUCAUGUUAACAUUCAUGAGCAUCACUCAUGUCAAUCAGCUUCAAAAGCUUCAUUUACAGAGCUCUAGCUUCAAAAGCUUCAUUUAUAAAAGCUCCAUCUUCGAAAGCUUCAUUUACAGAGCUCCAGCUCUAAAGUUUCACUUGCAAAGCUUCACUUACAAAGCUUCAGUGCAGGGUAUACAAAUAUCGCCUCCGAACAACCGUUACUUCAGCACAUACAUGGAUUCAAUUUGAAGUCUUCAGCCAACAAACUCUAUUGACCGAAGACUUGGGGGACUACAUUAUGUACCAUAUAUUGGGCCUCAACUGGGCCUUAUGAAAAAUACUUGGGGGACUUAGCCCAUUAUUUAUGUAUUCAGGAGCGAGCCCUUAUUCUAUAAAAAUGACUCCUUCACUUUCAUUAGAGAGCACUCAUUAUUCAUGUACUGAGGAGCGAACCUUUAUUUUAUAAAAGGGACUCCCUUACCUUCAUUAGAGAGCAACGCCGCCAGCUGAGCAACCGUCUCGCCACGAGCAUCACUCAUAACCCAUCACUUAUGUAUUGAGAAGCGAACCCUUAUUCUAUAAAAGGGACUCCCUCAUAUGGAAUGUGAGGACUGCAACUGAAUUUUCUUAUCCACUGGCAUGUGAACUCAUAUGGAAUGAUGCAACACCAAACCCUAGUGCAUAAUAUAUAAAAUAAUAAAAUAAUAGGUUUGGUCAUCUUAAUAACAAGGCUUAAUUGGGUUAAUAGUCCGUUGUAGUUGGGAUGUGAUGAAAUAUGUCAGGACUUAGGCUCAAAAUUGAAAGUUUUGUCAACUCUCCGUUAAUUGUUAUCACGUGAGCUAUGCUAACAAUUAACAGAAAUCCUAACACACCCAGACCCAAAAUAUCCACUGGACACUGAAUCGAGUUGUGCUGACCGACACCAAAGAGGUGAUAAAGCCAUAGAGUGAUGGUGAUGUGGAAAUUGCUACUAAUUUAAAUCUAAAGUAACUAAUUCUGAAGCGCACAUGUGAGUGGUUUUGAACCCAUAUCACACAAGUGAUGUCAAAACAUAAGUAAAAUGCAGUAAAAGUAGAGUAAUAAUUAUACCGUUAGGAGUAGCCUCCUAGUUAUCAGCUUUUGUUAGAGGUCCUCGUCUACAACAUGAGCUAUGCUGCUAAAUCUUGGAGAGGCGAAAAACAAGAAUGAAUUGACUUGAAAAAUAAAGUUUUAUUUCCAACCACCCCUAUCACCAUAGGGAGUAAUAAUCCAAUUAGGCCUACUAACAAAUACUAAUGACAAUGUGUUGUGACGAUACAAGAAAAUAAUUUCCUUUCCUCUUGAGAUGACGGGGGUUUCAUGGAAGUGGGACCAUUGAGACCAUGAAAUGUGCAUAAGUUAUUAUUGGAUUUUAGUUAACAUUAUUUUGUGCAAUGUCACAAAUCAUUAGAAAAAAAAAUAUAUAUAUAUAUAUAUAUAUAUAUAUAUAUAUAUAUAUAUAUAUAUAUAUAUGGCAAUGGCAGCCUCUCAAUAAUUGAUGAUCAUUAUUUUGGACUGGAAUUUAUUUGGUCAAAUGAAAACCUCAAAUCAGACUUGCCCUCGUUCACAUCCACCGCCUUGCCCUCAUGUGUAUGCCAAGCUAAACUCAAUCUCAGUUAUGAGUGAUUAGGUUGAACACAUGUCUGUUGAAUGACGCCGGGAAGUUCCGGUUUUUCCACAAUUUUUUGCAAAUCUCCGGCGAUGUUAAGGAUGGUUUCGGCUCAGAUUCUUUAUUGAUAGAAUAUUAGCUAAAUGCAAUUGAUCAAAUAGUCAUCUAUGACGAUCAUUCUACUAAGUGAAUAGUUAUGAACAAAUGUACCGAUAUAUAAACUCUAGAGUUGUCACGUCUUCUAAUGUCAGUUAAUCAAUUAAGAAACAAAGAAUGCCUUGAAUCUUGAUGCACACUAGAGUUAUAAACAGUAGUAGGCGAGAACAGAUGUGCCCUCCACUGCACUUGAGUCAUGGGUUAAUGUAAAGUAUUAUUUGUAUAAGAAAAACUAACAGUACUAGCUAGGCUAGAAAACCCCAUGUCGUUAAUAAGGUAGGGCCUUUUAGUGGGCCCAUUUUACAACAAAAUUGUGGCCUCUUGUGCAUUCUCGUUGGGUCUAAGGUUGCUUAAGAACACAUGUAGCAGACUUAUUAAUUAGAGCAUGUUUGGAAUUGAUUUUAAAAUGACAAAAAACAUUUUUGACGAAAGUGUUUCUGGUACCUAUUCUUGGUAAAAAUGCAAAUAAUCUUGGAAAAACACUUGAAAAGGUUUUUACAAGAAACACAUAACUGAUAUUUCUUAAAAAAUACAUUUCUGGCAUGUUUACCAAAUCGGAACGGAAUGGCAAGAAACGGAAUUUCAUUUUUUUUCAGGCAUUCAAGCCGUUUACUAACAUUUCCAGAAUGAAAAACAAGAUGGGGUCCAUUUAAAAUCAGGAGUUGGAUCCCUAAAUCUCUUGGAAUCGGAUCCCCUAGAUGGAGGUGGUAUUUGGAUUCCAGGGAGAAGGCUCUUCCAGGAAUCCAACUUUUAUACCCAAACUACCCCCUGGAUGGAUGGGCUUCGAAGAUUGAGUUGGUGGAAUGGGUUGUCGUUGGCGAAGAACGGAUUUGAAACUCGUUCGGUGUCGUAUCUGCCAAUUGAACGACACUCUACACCUAGAAUUGAAGCUGCAGUGGUGGUACAGUGAUGGUGGAUCCACUACUAUAGUGGCUGUGUGGCUGGAAAGAGGAGGGAGAUGAGAAAAAGAUGGAAAAAUAAGAGGGGGAAGCUGAAGAUAGUUGGGAUUAUGUGCGGUGCGGACCAUGAAAGAAGAUAGUUGGGUUAUGAAACGGCAACGAGACCGCAGUGCAAUUGGACAAGGAAAGGCAGGGGUGAAGGGCAAUGCAAGGAAAGGCAGGGUGGGCUAUGGAGGCAUAAGGGGGUGGAUAAUUGGUAUGUUUGGAAAGGCAAGGGUGGGUGGAGAAGGGAAUCUGAUUAAGAAAUUUAAUUUAAUUAAGAUAUAGAUGAAUUUUAUUAUAUAAAUUUAAUUUAAUUAAUUAGUAUGAAAAUAAUUUAUUUAUAUAAGGGCAAUUUAGUAAUUAAAUUAGUUUUAAUUCCGAUUGAAGUGAAUUAGUAAACAAUUUAUCUGGACUCAACAUCAUUCCUAUUCCAAUUCCAGACAGUUUUAGUAACAACUUCAUAAAUCUGAUUCUGAUUCCACCUCAUUUUAAUUCCUCCUCAAUCCAAUUUCUCUCAAUCUAAUUACGGAUUAGUAAACUCGCCCUUCAAGUGCAAAAGCACUUGAAAAACACUUCCAAACAUGUUUUAAUUCUCUCCAAUAUUAGCAAAUUAAAUAAGUAAAAGUGGGAAAUCACUAACCUUUUGGUGGUGUUGUAACUGUCAUUUCCUUGAUUUUGCUGUUGAUUACCACCAAGUCCAUAACCCAUUUUCUAAUUAUUUGAUGCUUAUUCUUGUACCAAAUACCGACAUGAAUAAUUCCUUUUCAAUAAAAAAAUCCACUAAAAGUUUGUUUUCUUCUGUGUUUCAUUAACAAACAAAACACAACAGCUAAGACACCGACGUCGUUAUGUGAAAGAAAAAUUAGAUAUAAAUAGUAUACGAGUCACCAGAUAAUCCAGCUCUGCAACUUCCUCGCCAACCCAACAUUUGCAAAUCUUCAUGAUAUGCUUACAUGAAUGCAGGGUUUAGGGUUUUUAAAUAGUUGGAAUUUUUGAAUGUCAACUUUGAGUCCUCUGUUGUUGGAACCUGCAGACAUUCAGGUGGGUACAAAACCCAUCAUCUAAUUUAAAAGCAUCAUAAAAUUGUAGCCAUUGAGUUGUUAUAUAAAGAUAAGAUAGGGGUUUUUAAAUAGUUGGAAAUUUUGAUGCAGAACUAGGUGAUGAAUCCUAACCCUAAUCAUCCAUGGAUGCCUAGCUAAAAUUUAUUUACCAGAAACUUAGUAAUUCGUAAAAGCUGCAUAAACCCUAGCUUGCUAGUUUUCUAACCUAGAUCGAGGUAAAGUGUAACAAGUUCAUACCUACUCAACCCUAGUAUGUUCAUAACAAUGAGGCUCUUUGAAUUACAAAAUAUCAUGAUGAGUCAAUAUUUCCAGUACUUGAAUUCAUGUAACAUGCUACCCAAAGCUGUAUGCAGCUAGGGUUUUGAAAACUAUAGCCAAAUUUUGAGCAUAUAUAUGCACGUUAGAUAUUUCUAGUCCUUUCCUUUUUCAUACUUUUAGGAAUUACAAUCACUCGAUGGGUCUCGAGAGGGCUCAAUCACUACUUGAAGGGGUCUCGAGAGAGUUCAAGCACUACUCGGAGGGGUCUCGAGUGACUGUUGAAAGUUCUAGAAUGAUACUAGUUUAGCCUAGAGGGGGUGAAUAGGUUCCAAUUUAAAAAUCCAAUUCAAUUUUCAAUAUAAUUUUUAAUUCUCAAAUUAAUUCCACAUUCACAUCACAUAUCAAAUUAUCCUAUGGAAGCAGUUCUAUAAAACUCAUAAGCCAAAACUACACAACUAGGUACUAGGGUUACAAUACAACUAACUCGUACAAAAUAUCUAGUAGUGUAUAUCAAAAAUUAAUUGCAGGAACACCUACUUGUAUUUGAUGCCAUGAUUGUAACGCAAGUCAGUCUUCUACUCCCACUACUCAAUAGCUCCCUUACUGUGUGAAUAUGUUUCAUCAAUAUUUAGGGUUUUUUACGUAUGGGAGCAGGGACUAUAACUUCAUAUAUAUACUACUAGGGUUGCACCACCAGCCUAUUACCAGUAGUGCACCCUUAUCGCCUUAAGAAUGAAUGAGUCCUAUCAUGAUUCAACAUCUUUGUAUUCAAUCCUUAUCGGGAUCGCUUUUAAGUUAACUGCAUGGUGUUAAGACUCCAUAACCCUUACGAAGUAGAGACUAACUAUACCACUUGCAUCACAGAUAACUUGAGAACCAAGCUAGCUGUCAUCUAAGUAAUAUCAACUAACACUCAUUGUCAUUCACUAGAACUUUACAUCCUACACAUGUGCAGUUAAAAAGAUAAAUACUAAGAGAAAUGAGUACAGAAAGACUUACAAAACUCAUCAACUAGACACACAUACUAGUAGGCAGUUUUGUCUCCAUACUUUGCUACUCGAUAUCUCUUUAGCCUUCAAGUGAAAGUGCACGACACUAACGUGGCCGUCAAUCACUGUCUCCUCGAACUUUACAAGAUACUAACGCGAUCAUGCAGAAUAUAUGAAAUGAAAUGAUUUUUGAAAAUCAACCAAUUAUGAAAAUCACAAGGCACAUUUUCAUAAUUGAUUUCGAUUAAAGCACAAUGAAAAAUCAGUGAACAAAACUAAAUUUUUCUUUAAAAGAAAAAACACGUGGAUACAAACUGAUUUUUCUACCAUAAACAUCAAGGGAAAAAUAUGAAUUUUCUUUUAGAAACACAGGCUGCUGACCGACAUGGAAAACAAACUUUCUGCUGUUAUAUAUAUGAAUGACGAUGCUUUCAGUGCACGGUGCUGCAUCAAAUGCAAACUACAAUACAUACCUACAGAGCAUGCAGCAAUAUAUAAGAAUAUAUAUGUAUUCUAAUACAUGCAGCAAGUAAUGGAUCUAUAUAAUGCAUGUAGUUGUUGUAGACUAUUAUAUAUAUAUGACUUAAACAAUCAAAGUGCAGCAGCAAUCCAAGACUAAAAAAACUUAUUCUCAUAUAGCAGCAGCAUUCUUUUCACUUUCACGAAAACGCAAUGGCAGCAACCACAACUUGUUUUUAACCUAGACCCCUAUAUCAAUAACAUGCGGCAACAGCAAGCGAAACCCUAAUGUAAUCCCAUCUAUAUAUAAGCUGCAGUAGGAGACUUCAAAAUGACUUAAAACUCUAAAUAGAUGAGAUAAAAAUAAAAACAAAAACAUUUGAAGGUGUUGAGACAAGGCAUAAAACUAAAUUAUCAAGUGACUCAUCCGGUUGUAUAUGCUAAGGUUUUGUUCACACUUAAAUUCAUGGGCUUUGAUUAAAACCUAGUAUCAUGUAAAUAAACCCAAGUAUACUCUUUUCUCUGUAGACAUAACACCGUAACAAUAAUCAUGCCAAGUUGAUUGAUCUAACAUAUUGUAGUUAAGCCUAACUACAAGAAUGCAUAUGUUACCUGAAUGGAUGCUUCUGAAAUGUUUGUUAUUUUACUAAUCGAGAGCACGAGAGACAAAUUUAAACUAAAAUAAUUACAAAAAAAAACAUGUAUUAGCUUAAGAUAUUGCAUACUAUGAUGUUUUGUUUAGAAAUUACCAAUUUUACUCUAACAACUGUACUCCUUAUCAAUUCCACAUAGGGGGCCUAUAUAUGUUGGUCACGUGGCUAGUCUUUUUCUUCCACCCAUCUCUCCCAAUCAUUAUCAUUGUACUGCAGGCUCUUUCUUCGAUGAGCUGUGGUUGUUUCGCUUGUUCAGUAGUCACUGUACAGUCUCCGUGCCUCCGGCUAUAUGUGUGGCUUUAAAUUUACGAUCCAAUCGUCGGAAAAAAAGAACAAAAAAAGGACGAUCCAAAAACUUUCAUAUAUAGUUGACAUCGUGGCCUAGUUUGCAACAUGAAACGCAAUUGUGCCAGAGAGAUAAUUGAAGGGGACUAAAGUCCAUACGACUACGGACUAUUUAUCACAAUAAUUCGUACGACUACGGACUAUUUAUCACAAUAAUUCGUUUUUGGCUGGUAUUGACAAUCAUUUAUAUUACGAAGAAAAUAACAUUGUGCGGAUUUAACAUCAUAGAAUAAAUAUCUCGUAUACACAUUUCUCUUUAUUUUUUUAGUUGAAAUUAUAACUAAUUAGAAAGGUAAUUAAUCCCACGAAAACUACAACAUUUAGCCUAGAACCAACAAAAAAUGGCCAAGCAACACAAAAGUAAAUAAUGUUGUGCGGACUUAACACCAUUCAAUAAAUAUGUCACACGCAUCACACACAUCUGCAUUUCUCCUUAUUUUUUUAGCUGCAAUUAUAACUAAUUAGAAAGGUAAUUAACCCCACAAAAACUACAACAUUGAGCCUAGAACCAACAAGAAAUGGGCAAGCAACACAAAAGUAAGUUUUUAUGAUUCUUACACGUCGACGUUAAUUUCUCCCAACGUUGGAAUGGAAUUGGAGCAGAAAUCAUAUGUAAAGAAAAAACAUUGAAAAAAAUACAAAAAUACGGGGUCGCGGCUGGAUUCGAACCUGCGCGGGCAAAGCCCACAAGAUUUCUAGUCAUGCCCGAUAACCACUCGGGCACGACCACUUUAUAGUAAACUAUGAGACAAUAGGGAAUAUAAUUUAUUGAUCAGACUUUGAUACAUUCUGACAAACUUUGAUACACGGUUUUAUUGAGCAGGACUGCAGGAGUGUAGGAUCAUAUCAAACUCACUACACUAAUAUUCAUAAGAAUAUAAAAGAACACAAGUAAUAUAAAUAAAGGAGGGAUACUUUCAGAAUUAAACAUAACUAUGUUGUUGAUACAAAUGAUUUUGGGAAUGUGCGAGCAAUGAGGAGUGUUAUCUCAUGCAAGUGGAUGGGUUAACACUCUUUACCAACAGAGUUGUGCAAAGUCCAAAUCAAGCUCCAAACCCCAAGUAAUAAAAUGAACACUCUUAACCAACAAAGAUACGAGUACCUUGCCAAAUACAAAUAUACCUAAUAAAGAUGGACUGGCAGCCGAGGUUCCAUAACAGCAACAAGUGGGAACUUCCGAGUUGUGACCAAUCCAUAAGCUUCCUCCAUACCCAAAUCUUCCACUUUCACAUUCCCAGGCAACUUCCAAUUAAACCCAUGCAACAUGUUAGCCAAACAAGUUCUUAUCAUCCUCAGCCCUAGCUUAUAACCAGGGCACAUCCUCCUCCCCGACCCAAACGGCAGCAACUCAAAACUCUGUCCUUGCAAAUCAAUCCCAGUAUUCCCUAAGAACCUCUCUGGCCUAAACUCUUCUGGUUCUUCCCACAGUUUAGGGUCUCUCCCCAUGCUCCACGUGUUCACAAAAACUACGGUUCCUUUGCAAACAUCGUAACCUGCCACGUUGGAGUUUUCAACGGCGAGAUGUGGUGGCAGAAUUACAACCGCAGGAUGCCUCCUCAUUGUCUCUUUCAUGAUCGCAUCUAUGUAAGGAAGUUGUUCUAGGUCUUUCUCUUCUACCCAUCUCUCUCUCCCGAUCACUCUGUCCAGUUCUUCUGUUGCCUUUUUAAUGAGGUUUGGUUGUUUUAUGAGCUCAGACAUUGCCCACUCUAAAUUUGUUGCUGAGGUAUCAGUGCCUCCAGCUAUUAAGUCCUGGUUUAAAUUUAAAUGAACAAUUAUGUUUUAUAGAUGGUUAGUCAAAUACGAGAAAUAUAUAUUAAACGUGAUAAAUAUGUACGUAAGUGUAUAGAAUGCAUGUAUGAAGUGUACAUAUCUUACAAAUAUUAACAAUUGAAUAGAUUUGGGAUCUUAUAUGAUAUAUACCUG
rnacentral:lncRNA from 1 species